rnacentral:rRNA from 1 species
AACGAACGCUGGCGGCAGGCUUAACACAUGCAAGUCGAACGCCCUCUUCGGAGGGAGUGGCAGACGGGUGAGUAACGCGUGGGAAACUACCUAUCAGUACGGAACAACAGUUAGAAAUGACUGCUAAUACCGUAUACGCCCUUUGGGGGAAAGAUUUAUCGCUGAUAGAUGUGCCCGCGUUAGAUUAGCUAGUUGGUGGGGUAAUGGCCUACCAAGGCGACGAUCUAUAGCUGGUCUGAGAGGAUGAUCAGCCACACUGGGACUGAGACACGGCCCAGACUCCUACGGGAGGCAGCAGUGGGGAAUAUUGGACAAUGGGGGCAACCCUGAUCCAGCCAUGCCGCGUGAGUGAUGAAGGCCUUAGGGUUGUAAAACUCUUUCACCGGUGAAGAUAAUGACGGUAACCGGAGAAGAAGCCCCGGCUAACUUCGUGCCAGCCGCCGCCGUAACAC